rnacentral:rRNA from 1 species
UACGUAGGGCGCAAGCGUUAUCCGGAAUUAUUGGGCGUAAGAGCUCGUAGGCGGUUUGUCGCGUCUGCCGUGAAAGUCCGGGGCUCAACUCCGGAUCUGCGGUGGGUACGGGCAGACUAGAGUGAUGUAGGGGAGACUGGAAUUCCUGGUGUAGCGGUGAAAUGCGCAGAUAUCAGGAGGAACACCGAUGGCGAAGGCAGGUCUCUGGGCAUUAACUGACGCUGAGGAGCGAAAGCAUGGGGAGCGAACAGG